rnacentral:piRNA from 1 species
UAAUGCCAUUACAUACAUACUCUGUCU